ACAUGCCUACAACAUAGAAUUAAUGCAUCAUGUCUCAUUAGAAAUACGCAGUUAAGCGCGCUCAAGCUAGAGUAGUACUAGGAUGGGUGAUCGCCCGAGAAGUACUAGUGUUUUUACAUGCC
rnacentral:rRNA from 1 species